rnacentral:lncRNA from 10 species
UGGGGCAGGGCGUGCGUUCGUGCGGUCAAAAUCCACUGGUGGCGUUUGGGGUGUUCCCGUGGACGCGGCCUCCCGGCAGGCGGACCUCCACCGGGUGGGCGCGGCAGGCGGGCUGUGCGGGCAGGAAGAGCGACGAGCUUGAGAGUGGGAGAUGGGGUGCAACGGCGGGCCUCUCCGGGGAGGUGACACUGCCGCUGAGACCCGAAUGGAAGGGCGCGCCCGGCGGGGGAACAGCAGGCGCCGAGAUGGAGUCUCACUGUAGUCCAGAUGGAGUGCAAUGGCGUGAUCUCGGCUCACUGCAAGCUCCGCCUCCCCGGUUCACGCCAUUCUCUUGCCUCAGCCUCCUGAGUAGCUGGGACUACAGGUGCCCGCCACCACACCCGGCUAAUUUUUUUGUAUUUUUAGUAGAGACGGGGUUUCACCGUGUUAGCCAGGAUGGUCUUGAUUUUUCGACUUCAUGAUCCGCCUGCCUCGGCCUCCCAAAGUGCUGGGAUUACAGGCGUGAGCCACCAUGCCCGGCCAAGCACUUCCUUGAACACAGAGGUGACCAUGAGGAGGGAGGCGUGAACCAGGAUGACGGGGCAGCAGAUGGAGCCUGCCUCCCUGAGACCUCAGGUGACCGAGUGCUGGACUGCCUCCUCCUGCCUACAUGGCUGAGAAAUAAACUUCUUUUUCAAACCACUGUGACCUGGGGUUUUCUGAUACCCUCAGCAAGCCUGUUCCUGUGGCCUGGUGUGGGUCCCCUGACCUGUG